ACGAACGCUGGCGGCGUGCUUAACACCUGCCAGUCGAACGGAAAGGCCUAGCUUGCUGGGUACUCGAGUGGCGAACGGGUGAGUAACACGUGGGUGAUCUGCCCCUGACUUUGGGAUAAGCCUGGGAAACUGGGUCUAAUACCGGAUAUUCAUUUUUCCUCGCAUGGGGAUUUGUGGAAAGCUUUUGCGGUUGGGGAUGGGCCCGCGGCCUAUCAGCUUGUUGGUGGGGUAAUGGCCUACCAAGGCGACGACGGGUAGCCGACCUGAGAGGGUGAUCGGCCACACUGGGACUGAGACACGGCCCAGACUCCUACGGGAGGCAGCAGUGGGGAAUAUUGCACAAUGGGCGCAAGCCUGAUGCAGCGACGCCGCGUGAGGGAUGACGGCCUUCGGGUUGUAAACCUCUUUCAGCUCCGACGAAGCGCAAGUGACGGUAGGAGCAGAAGAAGCACCGGCCAACUACGUG
rnacentral:rRNA from 1 species